rnacentral:lncRNA from 1 species
UCAGCGAGACUCCGUGGGCGUGGGACCCUCCGAGCCAGAAGUGACUCUCCAGGGGAGCUAAAAUCCAUGUAUUUGGGCACACACUUGAACAAUAUUGCUAGAGAAAUUUAAGCAAGAGCACAAAGGCACUACGUUGUCUGGGAUGAUGGAAGGAGCUAAAGUCUUCAGUGAAUGAAGGAGCAGGACCAGGAGCUCAAAAUACUUCUUUGAAGACAAAGAAGAAAUGAUAUUACCAAAUGGUUGGCUCAAAAGAACAGGGAUUUUGCAACAGAGAGAGUAUGUCAUGGUCUUGAACAAGCAAUGUUUUGCCAGGACGAUUAAAUAUCAUUGAUGCUUCUGGUCUACAAUUAGUCAGAGAAGAGAUUAAAAAAAUGAUGAGUAUUCAAGAAGGAAAGUGUUUGCUUUAACAUAUGAAGAAAAGGAGCUUCAGAGUGGUGAUUAACCCCAGAAUUGUGUGGAACGGAUAUGGAAACAAGACCACAGGAGCAUCGAGAACUGAGCAGAACUGAAGGUGACAUGAAAAUCAGCUGCAAGAUUCACCUCAGGGUGAUAAUGGGCUGCAGGUGGCUGCAGGAAUCCCGGGACAUUCUAGGCACUGCCAUAUUUUCUUAGGGGCCAGUAAGGAUGGCUAUCAUCAGAUGUACCUGAUGAUACAAACAUGGGCUGUCUUGCCUUCUAGUAUUCAUUCUUGAUGAUUGCAUCCAGAGCUCACUUUGGAGGUGCAGAUCAACUCUUCUUCAGGCUCAUCCAUGCGACUUGAGUGGGCUCUCAUCCCCAUUCCCAGGGGCUUAUGACAAUCAAGGUUUCCACUCCUCCAUGGUCUCAAUGGUUUUUCUCCCCAUGGGAAGCACAUAAUCCCAUUAGAGGCCACGGGAAGCUUUUUUGUUGGGCUUUGAGGGAAAAAAGGCUUUUGCAGCCAAUGAAUCGAUCAAUGUGUACUUCAACCUGGAUUGUAUGUAUGCAUCUCCUAGAUUGGGCGGAUGAUGAAGUGAGGCUGGAAGUGCUGAGCAUCUUCCUACCUGGGAUGACUGGGCUGAGCAGGAAGCCUACCCCGGGGUUCCAGCCAAGUUGGAGCCUGUGAGUGUGUGGUGUAGUUUAACGCCCUGAUUAAAUCACUAGGAAGCCAUUUCUCUCUCUCCUCCCAGACCAGAUCAGACAAUAUGUUCCCUUAUUUCUACUAAAGCCCCAAUUGGAUUUUGUGUCUUUUGAUACUGAAAGAAUCUUACCACAAAUAAAAUAAUUUGUCAUGUGGCUCCUACAUAUUUAUUCAGUUACAUAAACUAACUAAAUAAAUGAAUAAACUGUCAAUAAUGGUAGUUCCUCAUCUAUGAAUGACUCUUUACAAAGCCUAUCUCGCUUAAUAGUCAUAAUAAAUACUGAAGUAGAUACUAUUUAUACCUUUUUUUUAAAAGGAAUUAAAUAUUUUCAGGGUUAUACAAAGCAUGAGUAUUGUGGGUACAAAUUCAAGCUUUCUAACUCAAAUUUGAAGACUUAUCCCCAGGAUACUUUUACAUCUUUAGCUAGUACCAUGUAUACCUCAAAAGCUUACAUUAUUUUUCACAUGUGUUAGGUUUUGAGGGAUAAUCAAUAAGGAGGGCAUACUUUCAGGCUUCUUAUUUAUAACUGUGAAAUUUAGAAAUUGAUGGAGUAGCAGAUUUCUCGGUAGGAGACAGCUGUUUUAAAAUGCCCCAUGUUUUUAUUAAAGUAAAAAUCUCAAAAAUUGUCUUUUAAAAAGUGGCUCUGGCCAAUCUUAGAUAAAACAUCAUUUACUAGACUUAGGAAUUUCCUGUAGUAAAUUUCAGAUUUACUUUUCGGUCUCACAUCAUCAAAGAGAUCAUAACCCUUUGUGCAAUUAUGGUCUUGAACCAAGGCCUAUUCUCUAGGUCACUGCUGUCAGGACUUCAAGAUAAUUGUUUCCAUUGCAGGAUUUGAUUUUUAAUUCCCCGGAUGUUCUUGACGUGGUUCAGUUCUUCAGGAAAUCAUCACCCUCAUGAGCCCUCCCUGCCACUUGCAGAUAGGGCUUUCUCCCGGUAAGUUCUGGAGUCACGGCAGAGCUCAAUAAGUCUGAUUGGGACCUCCUAUGAUUAU